rnacentral:rRNA from 1 species
GAUCAUGGCUCAGAUUGAACGCUGGCGGCAGGCCUAACACAUGCAAGUCGAGCGGAAGGUUCUUCGGAACCGAGAGCGGCGGACGGGUGAGGAUAGCGUGGGAAUCUGCCUGUAGAUGGGGGAUAGCCCGGAGAAAUCCGGAUUAAUACCGCAUAAUACCUGAGGGUUAAAGUGGAGGAUCGCAAGACUUCACGUCUACAGAUGAGCCCACGUCAGAUUAGCUAGUUGGUAGGGUAAAGGCCUACCAAGGCGACGAUCUGUAGCUGGCCUGAGAGGGUGGCCAGCCACACUGGAACUGAGACACGGUCCAGACUCCUACGGGAGGCAGCAGUGGGGAAUAUUGGACAAUGGGCGCAAGCCUGAUCCAGCCAUGCCGCGUGUGUGAAGAAGGCCUUCGGGUUGUAAAGCACUUUAAGUUGGGAGGAAGGUUCGAUGGAUAAUACCCAUCGGAAUUGACGUUACCAACAGAAUAAGCACCGGCUAAUUCCGUG